rnacentral:rRNA from 1 species
AAUGAACGUUGGCGGCAUGGAUUAGGCAUGCACGUCGGGGGAAUCCCAGCAAUGGGGGAACCGGCGUAAGGGGCAGUAAGGCAUGGGUACCUACCUUGGGGGUCGGGAUAGCCAUCAGAGAUGGUGGGUAAUACCGGAUGACGUCGUGAGACCAAAGAUUUAUCGCCCUUAGAGGGGCCCAUGUGAUAUUAGCUAGUUGGUGGGGUAACGGCCCACCAAGGCGAAGAUGUCUAGCGGGUGUGAGAGCACGACCCGCGCCACUCGCACUGAGACACUGGCGAGACACCUACGGGUGGCUGCAGUGGAGGAUCUUCGGCAAUGAGCGCAAGCUUGACCGAGCGAUGCCGCGUGAGCGAUGAAGGCCUUCGGGUUGUAAAGCUCUUUAGUGGGGGAGAAAAGCCGCAAGGUGUGAUCUAUCCCAAAAAUAAGCACGGGCUAAGUUCGUGCCAGCCGCCGCCGUAA